GAUGCAACUAUUCAAAACUGGAA
rnacentral:snRNA from 1 species